rnacentral:rRNA from 1 species
AGGACGAACGCUGGCGGCGUGCCUCAUACAUGCAAGUGGAGCGACGAACCAGGAUUUAUCCUGGGGCAAAGCCGCGAACGGGUGAGUAACACGUGGGUUACCUGCCCCGAUGAUUGGGACAACCCGAGGAAACUCGGGCUAAUACCAAAUGUGUUCUUGGUCGUGAUGACCAAGAAGAAAGGAAGCCUCGGCCUCCGCAUCGGGAUGGGCCCGCGGCCCAUUAGCUAGUUGGUGGGGUAAUGGCCUACCAAGGCGACGAUGGGUAGCUGGUCUGAGAGGACGAUCAGCCACACUGGGACUGAGACACGGCCCAGACUCCUACGGGAGGCAGCAGUGGGGAAUAUUGGACAAUGGGGGAAACCCCGAUCCAGCAAUGCCGCGUGAGUGAAGAAGGCCUUAGGGUUGUAAAGCUCUUUCAGUAGGGACGAUGAUGACGGUACCUACAGAAGAACGCCCCGGCUAACUCCGUGCCAGCAGCCGC